rnacentral:rRNA from 1 species
AACGAACGCUGGCGGCAUGCCUAACACAUGCAAGUCGAACGAACCCUUCGGGGUUAGUGGCGCACGGGUGCGUAACGCGUGGGAAUCUGCCCUUUGCUUCGGAAUAACAGUUAGAAAUGACUGCUAAUACCGGAUAAUGUCUUCGGACCAAAGAUUUAUCGGCAAAGGAUGAGCCCGCGUAGGAUUAGCUAGUUGGUGGGGUAAAAGCUCACCAAGGCGACGAUCCUUAGCUGGUCUGAGAGGAUGAUCAGCCACACUGGGACUGAGACACGGCCCAGACUCCUACGGGAGGCAGCAGUGGGGAAUAUUGGACAAUGGGGCGAAAGCCUGAUCCAGCAAUGCCGCGUGAGUGAUGAAGGCCUUAGGGUUGUAAAGCUCUUUUACCAGGGAUGAUAAUGACAGUACCUGGAGAAUAAGCUCCGGCUAACUCCGUGCCAGCAGCCGCGGUAAU